GGCCUGGCUGGACGGUCCGCCCUUCGGGUGAGUACUGUCUGUAGUCGGGUCCUACCUUCUGGCGAAGCGUCAUGGCCUUAACCGGCCGUGGCGGGGAACCAGGACUUUUACUGUGAAAAAAUUAGAGUGUUCAAAGCAGGCUUACGUCUGAAUACAUUAGCAUGGAAUAAUAGAAUAGGACGGUGGUCCUGUUUUGUUGGUUUCUGAAUCACCGUA
rnacentral:rRNA from 1 species